rnacentral:rRNA from 1 species
UGCAAGUCGACGGAGUGUUGGUAGCUUGCUCUGAACAACUUAGUGCGGACGGGUGAGUAACACGUGAGCAACCUGCCUUUGAGAGUGGAAUAGCUUCUGGAAACGGAUGGUAAUACCGCAUAACAUUAACGGACCGCAUGAUCUGUUAAUCAAAGAUUUUAUCGGCUCAAAGAUGGGCUCGCGGCUGAUUAGAUAGUUGUGGGGUAACGGCUACCGAGUCGACGAUCAGUAGCCGGACUGAGAGGUUGAACGGCCACAUUGGGACUGAGACACGGCCCAGACUCCUACGGGAGGCAGCAGUGGGGAAUAUUGCACAAUGGGCGGAAGCCUUGAUGCAGCGAUGCCGCGUGGAGGAAGAAGGUUUUCGGAUUGUAAACUCCUUUUAUCAGGGACGAUAAUGACGGUACCUGAAGAAAAAGCUCCGGCUAACUACGUGCCAGCCGCCGC